rnacentral:rRNA from 1 species
UUCCUACGGGGGGCAGCAGUGGGGAAUAUUGCACAAUGGGGGAAACCCUGAUGCAGCAACGCCGCGUGAGUGAAGAAGUAUUUCGGUAUGUAAAGCUCUAUCAGCAGGGAAGAGAAUGACGGUACCUGACUAAGAAGCCCCGGCUAACUACGUGCCAGCAGCCGCGGUAAUACGUAGGUGGCGAGCGUUAUCCGGAAUGAUUGGGCGUAAAGGGUACGUAGGCGGCCUGCUAAGUCUGGAGUGAAAGGUACCGGCUCAACCGGUACAGGCUCUGGAAACUGGCGGGCUAGAGAGCAGGAGAGGGG